AUGAUAAAAAGAUAUUUCUCCACAGCGCUACGGAUGCAGACGCAUUCAAAGGCUUCUUCUCUCGCCAGCUCCUCUACAGAAUCACUCUUAAUGAAAGCUUCAGCUCCAGCUCUCCAAGCCCAGAUUCAGUCGCAGCCGUCUAACCCUCGGCCUGCAAACCAAGCGGUGGCCAUCGCUUUCGAAAAAUCAGAAGAAAUUAAUUUCCUCUCUGGAGGAGACGACAUUCCAGUCGUAAGGCCUUCCUGUCAUCUGCGGGCCAUGAGCGUCUCACAGGGUCGUAAACGGCUUGGAGGGGAAGAAGAAUUGGCCAAGAAUCAGAGAGAAGAUUCAACCUAGAGCUGAGCAACUAAAUGCCAGAAGAAACAAAGAAGAGAAAGAAGAGAAUGAGAGUUUACACACACAGGGAACGUCAGGUUUCUCUCACCUGCAGCAGGACCAGAUGCUUUCAGGAUAAACCCCUUUAAACCCGCUUUCAUCAUCCCUUCAGUCACAGAUGGCUGUUUACACCUGUAUUACCUGCUUUGUGCAUGACUGGGUGGAUGUAAAGGAGAAUAUCUGUGGCUGCAAACAUCAGUGUGUCAAUGCAAUGUGUGUAAAAUAAAAGUUGCUUAAAUAUCA
ensembl:lncRNA